UACGUAGGGGGCAAGCGUUGUCCGGAUUUAUUGGGCGUAAAGAGCGUGUAGGCGGCCAAGUAAGUCUGCUGUGAAAACUCGAGGCUUAACCUCGAGCUGUCGGCGGAAACUAUUUGGCUAGAGUCCGGAAGAGGAGAAUGGAAUUCCCGGUGUAGCGGUGAAAUGCGCAGAUAUCGGGAAGAACACCCGUGGCGAAAGGCGGUUCUGCUGGGACGGUACUGACGCUGAGACGCGAAAGCGUGGGGAGCGAACAGG
rnacentral:rRNA from 1 species